UGGGGAAGACUUGAGUCUCGAGAGACCUGCCGCUCGGGCGCGUCUGGCUCCCUUCCUCUGUUAGGUUGAUUCUUUGUGGAGAGUCGUGAAGCUUCACGGCUUGACGCCAUCUCGGGGAGGUAGCAGCAUGGCUGCAGUAAGGCUCUGGACUGAACCUAGCGCAUAGGACGCCCACUCUAUUGAAGCCCGAGUGGAAAGCUAAGUGAGAGAGUCCUGUGGAAGUCGGUGGGGUCAAGCAUCUUAUCUGAUCGCGCCCUUUCUUAGCUGCCCUGAUGCAAAUGACUUGCUCCAUGACAUACUCCCUGCCGUGAUAUCCUGCUGUGCUGGGGCCUAAAAACAAUGGAGCCAGCCAACCCUACGCUGGACCCUCCAAUGGUGAACUAAAAUAAAUCAUUUAAAGUC